rnacentral:rRNA from 1 species
UACGUAGGGGGCAAGCGUUGUCCGGAAUCAUUGGGCGUAAAGAGCGUGUAGGCGGCCCGAUAAGUCCGCUGUGAAAACUCGAGGCUCAACUUCGAGCUGUCGGUGGAAACUUUCUGGCUAGAGUCCGGAAGAGGAGAAUGGAAUUCCUGGUGUAGCGGUGAAAUGCGUAGAGAUCCGGAAGAACACCGAUGGCGAAGGCGGCCUGCUGGGCAGUUUAGCUGACACUGAGGCGCGACAGCGUGGGGAGCAAACAGG